UAAUUGCAGUUGGAAAUGAUGGACUUCA
rnacentral:piRNA from 1 species